UACGGAGGGGGCUAGCGUUGUUCGGAAUUACUGGGCGUAAAGCGCGCGUAGGCGGAUCUGCAAGUCGGGGGUGAAAUCCCGAGGCUCAACCUCGGAACUGCCUUCGAUACUGCGGGUCUCGAGUCCGGGAGAGGUGAGUGGAAUUCCUAGUGUAGAGGUGAAAUUCGUAGAUAUUAGGAAGAACACCAGUGGCGAAGGCGGCUCACUGGCCCGGUACU
rnacentral:rRNA from 1 species